ACCCUAACACUAAGUCCACCGGGUCCUUGUAGGAGUAGGACAUAUAAGGAUCGAGCUCUAAGCCCACCGAGUCCUAGGAGCAGGACAUAUAAGGAUCAAGCUUAGGCAUGGCUCGAUCGAGUCCUAAGUUACAAGGAUCAAGAUGGAUUCUAAUAAGAUGCGAAUCAUUCUAAGGUCAUGCUUGAUCAAAUGAGAAUGAGUCAAGUGUAUAUAGGGACUAGGUUUAGAAUCCUGGUUCAAAUCAAAGAAUCUGAGGUUAGAUAGAGAUUGGGUUUCGGCUAAGGAAUGGAUAAUGAGGGAAUAUCCAGGUAAAUGCUUAGUAGGCACAUUCCUAUCAAGACUGUACCCGGCAUGACUAUUUAUCACGAUGUCAAUCCCUACAAAUAGAAGAGGAUUAACAAAUAGUUUUUUCAAUAUUUAAUUUCGAAUUAAUGAUUAGUUUUGUUGUGGCGCAAUGACGGUACAAUUAGAUAUGAAUUGAUGAAAAAGUAUAAGGCAAUUAAUUAAAGAACAAGACUUCGCUGCUGAAAGAUCAGUAGCAGCAGCAGCUGCUGAUAGCCAAUCACACGCGGACAUGUGUUCAAGUUUUGAUUUUUUUAAUUAAAACUUGGACAUGUGUCCACGCAUGAUAGGUCAUUGGCAGCAGCGAAGUUGUAUCCUUAAUUAAAUGCCUUAAACAUGUAAUUGCAAUAUUGCUUAGGCUCUGCCAGAGCCUAUGCAACUACUUCUAACUUAUGCUACUUCACAUUGUAAAUGAGAUAAAAUUUACGGGGUACAAGGGAUGAGUGAAAGCAUAUACACAAGAACUUGAAUUACAAAUCAGGUGCCAAAACCAGGCUGAAUUACGCACAAGUCAUGAUUUUAUAUCCACGAGUGUCCGUCUCCGGCUCCAUCAUAAAAACCUGAAAUUAGACACAGUAAUUUGUAUCACUCAUGAAAAACGCCAUACCUGAUACCAUGAC
rnacentral:lncRNA from 1 species